rnacentral:lncRNA from 1 species
CAGCUGCAGUUGUUGAUUCAGGGAAAUGCAGCAGCAGCCUGCUACUGCUGCAGGGAAAAAUAUUGCAUUAUUACUAUAAUUUGCGGUUUCACAAUAUGAAGUUGUGUUUAAAUUGUUAGACAUUUUUUUGCAAUAAGUUUAACUAAUUACUACUGUAUGUUCAUCCAUUAUAUUAAUAUUGUCUAUUUCCCCAUUAUACUAAUGUUGUCUGCUCCUAUAUUAUACUAAUGUUGUUUGUUCCUCCAUUAUACUAAUGCCUCUACCUAAUUACAAUGAUUAAAAGCCUUUGGUUUCCACAGAAAUUAAAAAAGAACCCACAUCAGAGACUAAAAUUACAAUGCUUCAUUUUAUCAUGCCAAAUGUCUUCUAUGCACAUAUUGCAGUAUAUUUAAGAGUUGUUAAAUGGAAAUAUAAAUUGUAAAAAGUCUUUUAUUCACUCUAAAUUUGAAUUUUCAAGCUCAAUUUUAGACUUUUGUUUUGUAUUGCAUCUGGCCAGUACAUAUAACUGAAGUGUUAGUCAUAUUUAAAACUAUUGUAUAUUGACUUUACACUUGGUGGCUAAGAGUUCUUUCUUGCAUGAGCAAGGAUUAAUUUAACCAUGAUUCCAAAUCAGCUUUAUGAUGUAUUUUCUAAAUUCAGGCAUGCCAUAAUAUAUUAGAGAAAAUUUUGAUUUUAAUAAUCUGAUUUAUUAUUUCAGAGUUUCAUUUUCAUAAAAUAUAUUCGCAAACAAGAAGCAUAAUGAAUAAAAUUAGAAGAAGAAACAAACAAACUAAAUUAAGAGCAACCAAAAGAUGGAUACACAAAUAGAAAGAGAAAAAUUAGAUGAGAGAAAGAGAGAAGGACCUCGUUUGCCCAUUGGUGGUAUAACGGGUUGCAAUAGGCGAAGAGGGGAUUCUGCAGCGUGAUUGGGCUGAUCCACAUUCGGUUGGCAAAGAGACUGGUGGUGGCGUGACUGGGUGCCUCACGGUGGAGAUGGGUGCAGAAAGGGGUAGUGGCGGCGUGACCGAGUGCCUCACGUGGAGAUGGUGCAGAAAGGAGAAAAUUCAUGAAGGAGAAGCUGAUAAUAGUUACAAAACGC